rnacentral:sRNA from 1 species
CAAAAAGACCGCGAAACCGUUAGGAGGGAAACGAAUGCAGCUAAAUUAGCUUUGUUUCAGGCUCAGGAGGAUGUUGGGUUUCGAUGCCAGCUGUCAAAAGCCGAUAGGUUUUGACUGUUGGAUAGUGUUCAACUCCUCUGCAUUCCUGUGCACAAGCUAGCCAACAACAGUUGUCUGUGGCUGAUGAGGGCAGGUGGGUAGGUAGUUCACUGAAAUUCAGAGAAAACGUAUAGCCAUCUGUCUGGAAGUCUGCGGAUGACUGAGGAAAACUGGUAGCACAGGCCCUCUGGGUUUGGGCCGCUUCUGGUCGUUCUGGGUACCACUUGUGGGACUGCUUGCAGUGCCAUUCGAUGGUUGUCUGCUCGAGCGGGAGACUGGUCACACCUUGUGCUGUAGUUGUUGGUGUUCAAAUGGCUGCAUCCGA